rnacentral:rRNA from 1 species
UGGCAGACGGGUGAGUAACAUGUGGGUAUCUACCCUUUGGCCUGGAAUAACACGAGGAAACUUGUGCUAAUACCGGAUAAGUCUUUACGGAGAAAGCUUUAUGCACCAUUGGAUGAGCCCGCACUUGAUUAGUUUGUUGGUAGGGUAAUGGCCUACCAGGACUAUGAUCAAUAGCUGAUUUGAGAGGAUGAUCAGCCACAUUGGGACUGAGACACGGCCCAAACUCCUACGGGAGGCAGCAGUGGGGAAUCUUGCACAAUGGAGGAAACUCUGAUGCAGCGAUGCCGCGUGAGUGAAGAAGGCCUUUGGGUUGUAAAGCUCUUUCGUCGGGGAAGAAAAUGACUGUACCCGAAUAAGAAGGUCCGGCUAACUUCGUGCCAGCAGCCGCGGUAAUACGAAGGGACCUAGCGUAGUUCGGAAUUACUGGGCUUAAAGAGUUCGUAGGUGGUUGAAAAAGUUGGUGGUGAAAUCCCAGAGCUUAACUCUGGAACUGCCAUC